rnacentral:tRNA from 1 species
GCCCGGGUAGCUCAGCCUGGAUAGAGCACCUGCCUUCUAAGCAGGGGGUCGCAGGUUCGAAUCCUGUCUCGGGCG